GGAAUAGGACCAGAGAUACCCGGCAAAGUUCUGCUUGGCCACUCCUAAUCCUCCCUCCACUCUGGUUAACACCAGCUAAAAUGCAGGUCCUCCUCGCCCUGGAUUCGGCUACACCACUGAUGAACAACACACAGGCAGAGGAAAGUGUUUGGAGGUCUUUCACAGGGAAGCAAUUCAUGUUUAUUUGGUAGAGCCAAAAAUUCAACAAGGGAGUAAAGAAGUUCCUCCAAGGUGGGUUUUGCUCAGGACAGGCAGACAUUUCUUGUGGCUAGAAGUGAGUGGCAACAGGUCCUCCGGCAGUGAUGAGCUACCUGGCCUCAGGAGCAUUCAAGUAGACCGAAGGCCAUGGGAGGUUCCAGAAGCUGGAGCAACAGGCCAGGCUUGGAUCAUUGUGAAGGCCUUGCUGGGGCAGCAGGUGUACACUCUGCUACAUGAGAGAAGUCCCUGAGGGGAGAAGUGAGUUUGUCCAAGGAGUAGGAGAGAAGCUGGGCCUGUUUGACAUCACACACCUCCACUCCUGCUGGAGAAGGGAGCCAAGGUGGGCUGAGACAUUCCCAGACUCAGUGCCCACAGCUCCAUCCAUCUGGAAGACUUUGGGUCAAAUCCAUAAAGAACGUGAGAGGGGCCGGGGAGCCAGCCCAGGAUGACUGAAAGUGCAGUGAGUUCUCUGUCUGAGCCUCCAAGGGUCUUCUGCCUGGGCGUUCUCUGCACCACAGGCAGGAGUGGCCAUCUCUUGGAGGUUUUCUAAGGGCUGAGCGAGAGACAGAAGCAAGGAGUUUCCAUACAAGCCUCCAACACCUGAGGAAGAAUUGGAAUAACUGCCGGUGGAGCUGCAGGGUCCCAGGGGAGAAGCCCAGGCUCUGAGUCCACAGGGACUGAGACCUUUGCUUAUCAACUCGGCAACCUCAGGCAACGAUGCUUCCUGGGCCUCAGUUUACUUGUCUGUGGGGAAUUGACACACUAGGUAAAGUGGGGCUGUUAGGAGGCACUGAGCAUGUUAGUUCUUGUUCCUACAUCCCCAGGGCAAGACUUCCUCCCAAGGGAGGUGAUCCAAUGACAAACUCAUUCGUACCAAGUUGCGAACAGCUGACCCCUGAUCCCUCCUUGAAAACGAUGGAAGAGGGCUAGACGCAGUAGCUCACACCUGUAAUCCCAGCACUUUGGGUGGCCAAGGCAGGUGGAUUGCUUGAACUCAGGAGUAUGAGACCAGCCUGGGGAACAUGAUGAAACCUCAUCUGUAGAAAAAAAUACAAAAAAAAAAAAAAAAUUAAUUAGUUGAGUGCGGUGGCGUGCACCUGAAGUCCCAGCUACUUGAGAAGCUGAGGUGGACGGAUCACCUGAGCCCAGGAGGUUGAGGCUGCAGUGAGCUAUGAUGGCACCACUGCACUCCAGCCUGGGUGACAGAGUGAGACUCUCUCUCCAACAAAACAAAACAAUGGAAGAGAUGAGAAACCAGGUUACCAAAUUCCUGGUGCCUAAGAGCACAGAAGUGCCAAGAGGGGGCAGCCAGCAGUAGUAAAGAUAAAUUUUAGAUUUUCCACACAAUUUUUGGAGAACUGACUCUGGGUUUACUGAUUUGGAUUUGGAUAAAUUCUAACAGGCUUCAGAUGGAUGGAAACACAGCGGAAGAUGAUGUUGAAUUUUUUGGAAGGUUAUACAUGCUGCACUCGGGAAUCGCUAACAUUUUAAAAAGACUUUAGUGGUGCUGCUGUGGAGCAACUGGAACGCACAAGCAUUGCUGGUGGAUGUAAAGUGGUGCAACCAUCUGGAAAAGGGCCUGGAAGUCUCUUAUAAAACCGAAAAUACACCUACCCCAGACCCAACCAUUUCAAUCCGAUAUUUACUCAAGAUAAAGGAAAAUUUAUGUCCACAAAAAUAUUUGUUCACACCAGUUUUAUGAAUCAUAGCCAAAACCCAGAAACAGCCCAUUAAGAGGAGAAUGUAAAAACAAAUUAUAUCUUCUUAAAAUGGAAUACUACUCACUAACAAAAAGAAAUGAAUCCUCAGCACGUCACAAAUGACAUGAAUAUAGCACAAAACACACUGAACGGAAGGAGCCAGACAGAACUGACUACAUACGACAUGACUUCAUUUCUAUAAAGUUCUAGAACAGGCAAAACAAAUCUGUGGUGAAGAAAAAAUAAGAGCAGUGCUUGCUUCUGAAGAUUGAAGGGGGUAUUGCUUGGAAAGGGCAUUAGAGAAACUUCUAGGGUUCUGGGGAUGUUCUAAGCCUUGAAAGAAGUUUAUGCACUUGUUGGAACUCAAUGAAUGUACACUUAGCAUUUGCACAUAACACUGUAUCUAAAUCUUACCUCAAAAAAGGACUGUAAACAAAUAUGAAGCUCUAAUUAAUGAUACGCCAGGUGAAAUAUUUAGGGAAACAAAUGGAGGUCCGCAAGUUACUUUGAAAUGCAUUAAACACAAGAUGCCAAGGGUUGAUGGAUGAGAGAUAAACGGGUGGGUAGAUGUGUGAUAAAGUACCGCAAAUAUUAACUGUAGAACCUAGAGUGUCUACUUUACAAUUGUUUCCACUUUUCUGUGUGUUUGAAAAUUUUCAUAAUACAAUGAUGGAAUACUAUGCAGCCAUAAAAAGAAAUGAAUUAACAGCAUUUGCAGUGACCUGGAUGAGAUUGGAGACUAUUAUUCUAUGUAAUGUAACUCAGGAAUGGAAAACCGAAGAUCAUAUGUUCUCACUGAUACGUGGGAGCUAAGCUAUGAGGACGCAAAGGCAUAAGAAUGAUACAAUGGCCUUUGGGGACUUAGGGGGAAGAGUUGGAGGGGGGCGAGGGAUAAAAUACUACAAAUAUGGUGCAGUAUAUACUGCAUGGGUGAUGGAUGCUCCGAAGUCUUACAAAGCACCACUAAAGAACUUACUCUUGUAACCAAAUACCACCUGCCCCCCAGUAACUUAUGGAAAAAAAUUUUAAGUUGGGGUUUUUAUCAUAAAAGCCAGCCUGAAAGUGUAUCUUAAUUUUGCAUGUGUCUUCAGCCUGCUGGAGAAGCUCUCCCGCUGGAAGCAGAGCCUGGAAGUCAGGUCAGGAUGCUGCGGUCUAAGUCCCACCGCUGGCUCCGGAUAUAAGAGUAGGGCCAAGGGCGAUCACAUCAUCUCCUCUCACUCCCCUUAUCUGCACCACACAGGCCCUCAGAGAGAUAAAGGCGUCCCACAAAAGGGCUUUGAUGUUGAGGGUGACCAACAUCGCAUCGGGACAAAGAAUGAUUAUUUGGUUACAGAAAGACAGGCUGAUCAAGUCAAAAUCUAGCAACUUGCAGCUUUCAUUUAGCUGCAUCUGAAACCAGAGUCAAGACUGGAGAACCAGGGGCUGCCUUCUCGGUCAGACAGACUCGGAGGAGGCCAGUAUCCAGAUGGUGUCGCCUCAUACACUGCAAACCUGAAAACAGGCCACCGUGCCCACCUGCUCCCUGGAGGUCAGCCACAUGCGGAGAUCCACCCAGCAGAUAGGUUUUUGGAUUUUGCUGAUCGAUGGGAAGGAUCCAUCGAUGUGGAUUCCAAGCCUUUCAAUAAAAGCGACUUUGAUGUUGUUGGUUCUAGUUUUGCACUUUCUUUACUAAAGAAAAUGAAAAUAAUCCUUCCCUCAGUAUCAUCAAGAUCAUGAAGGCAAAUACAGCAUGAAUUUGAGAAAAGAUCCUAAACCGGAAAAAACGUGGUUGCAAAGGGCAUUCUAUUUGAAUAAGGAUGAUGGGUU
rnacentral:lncRNA from 1 species